ensembl:lncRNA
ACUUCUACACUCAGUGCCCCCAACCCUACAGCAGGCCACACUGACCCAUGCCUCUGCUGGAGACUCCUGGACACUCACGGGCAAUCCUAAAGGAAAUUAGUCCUGAAUAUUCACUGGAAGAACUGAUGCUGAAGUUGAAGCUCCCAUACUUUGGCCACCUGAUGUGAAGAACUGACUCAUUGGAAAAGAUCCUGGUGCUGGGAAAGAUUGAAGAUGGGAGGAAAAGGCGACAACAGAGGAUGAGAUGUUGGAUGACAUCACUGACUCAACUGAUAUGAGUUUGGGUGGAGUCUGGGAGUUGGUGAUGGACAGGAAGGCCUGGCGUGCUGUGGUUCAUGAAGUUGGAAAGAGCCGGAGGUGACUGAGUGACUGAACUGAAUUGAACAUGCGGCCUUCAGGGCCAGAGAACAAAGUGAUCAUUAACCACUGAGUAACUAAGCAACAAUAAUCAAUAACAAAGCAGUAACUAAAGACUAAUAUUCUUAUCUAUAGAUUUUCCUCCAGAAUCAUAAAACAUGUGACUCUGAGAAGGCCACAUGAGUUACAGCUUAACUCCCCACAUAUUCUUUCCUUCACGGCUGAGAGUGUUAUAAAGCUGGCCUGGAUUCAGUUUUGGUGCCUUCACCUUGGAGCGGUGUCGUUACCCUUAUCCUCGCUUUUCACUGAACUCUUGUGUCUUGUUUUCUCCCUCUCCUGCCGCAUUGCACUUUCUGAAACAAUGCUUGUCAAGCCGGUCUCAACAAAUGCUAUUACUACCAUCAUUUAUUAAAUACUUAUUUUUAGAGAGGUUUAUGUGAAUAAUGCCAUAUAUAUAAAGAUUACAUGGGUUAUAAUACUAUUGCUAUUUUAAAUAUGAGAAAAAUUAAGCUUGGUAGGUGAGGUGAACUUACACAAAGUCAUACUUUCAGGAUUAAAAGAGAAGCAUUCUGACUUACCAAUCCUCUUAGUAAAUUAAAAAGACAAGACUAAGCACUUGUAGCUUUUUACUUAGAGCUUUUUUAUUUCACCAAAAAUUGUAUAGUUGUUUCAUAACACUGUCCCUGAUAUAAACCAGAUGUUGGAAACUGGCAAUAUAUGCAUUACCUCCAUGCAUAUAAAACGCAUUUUCCACUCAAGUUGUACGACAACUCAUGAUUCAUAUUUCAGUUGGAAUUUUAAUAUCACUGAAAAUGUUUCUAACCAGAAGCUACAAUUUAAUAAUUUUAAGAGGCAUGGUUAAUCAUAUAAUUAUUGCAGAUGUUAUUCCUAUUAUUUAUGUAAUAUAAGUAUUAUUUUUUAUAUUCUAACACCAAGAAAAAGUAGAUGAAUUAACCCUAUAAGGAGACAAUACUUUAUUUUAAAUUGAUAGACAAAAAUAUGUUGCUUUUCUCUACUAAGUGAAAGUUCAUAAUUAUUAAAUACACUCAUUUGUAAAUUAAGGUUAGUUAACUGCAUUCAUUAAAGCUAUACUUAUCUAUAAUGAUUCUGACUUAAUUAUUAAUAUUUUGAUUGAAUUAUAGUUAUGUGCCGGGAGCCAGCAUAUUGCAUAUUGCAUAUUGAGUGCAGCACUUUCCACAGCAUCAUCUUUCAGGAUCUGGAAUAGCUCAACUGGAAUUCUAUCACUGCCAGGAGCCAGCGUGAGAAACUCUGCCCGUGGCAAAGGUCAUGAGGAAGGAGGCUCGGGCAUACACAAAGGCGGGAUGGAGCCUCAGGAGUCCUCCUGGAAAUUCUCGAG